ensembl:miRNA
GAUCCUUACUCACCGGAGAUCUAUCCCAGACUAGGCGUCCCCUCUGUCUGCCCCUGCCCCCUGCCAGACAGCAGGGACGGUUUGGGUGUGAGAAUAACAUUUGUUUUGGUUAAAGUAAUAG